GCCCGGCUAGCUCAAUCGGUAGAGCGUAAGACUCUUAGUACACCUCAGUACCUGGCAUCUUAAGGCUGCGAGUUCGAGCCUCGCGUUGGGCU